GACGAACGCUGGCGGCGUGCUUAACACAUGCAAGUCGAGCGGUAAGGCCCUUUCGGGGUACGACGAGCGGCGAACGGGUGAGUAACACGUGGGUGACCUGCCCUCCAGCUCUGGGAGUAAAGACCUCGGGAAACCGGGGUACGUAAUACUGGAUAUGACUCCAUGACGCAUGUUGUGGGGUGGAAAGCCUUGUGCGGCUGAGGA
rnacentral:rRNA from 1 species